rnacentral:sRNA from 1 species
GACCACUCCGAUGAGGAGUCGAGGCCAUACGGACAGCCGGGUCCACUGCCGA